CCUACGGUGGGCAGCAGUGGGGAAUAUUGGACAAUGGGCGAAAGCCUGAUCCAGCCAUGCCGCGUGUGUGAAGAAGGCCUUCGGGUUGUAAAGCACUUUCAGUGGGGAAGAAAGCCUUGGGGCUAAUACCCUCGAGGAAGGACAUCACCCACAGAAGAAGCACCGGCUAACUCCGUGCCAGCAGCCGCGGUAAUACGGAGGGUGCGAGCGUUAAUCGGAAUUACUGGGCGUAAAGCGCGCGUAGGCGGUCUGAUAAGCCGGUUGUGAAAGCCCCGGGCUCAACCUGGGAACGGCAUCCGGAACUGUCAGGCUAGAGUGCAGGAGAGGAAGGUAGAAUUCCCGGUGUAGCGGUGAAAUGCGUAGAGAUCUGGAGGAAUACCAGUGGCGAAGGCGGCCUUCUGGACUGACACUGACGCUGAGGUGCGAAAGCGUGGGUAGCAAACAGGAUUAGAUACCCCGGUAGUC
rnacentral:rRNA from 1 species